rnacentral:rRNA from 1 species
UACGUAGGGUGCGAGCGUUAAUCGGAAUUACUGGGCGUAAAGCGUGCGCAGGCGGCUUUGCAAGACAGAUGUGAAAUCCCCGGGCUCAACCUGGGAACUGCAUUUGUGACUGCAAGGCUAGAGUACGGCAGAGGGGGAUGAAUUCCGCGUGUAGCAGUGAAAUGCGUAGAUAUGCGGAGGAACACCAAUGGCGAAGGCAAUCCCCUGGGCCUGUACUGACGCUCAUGCACGAAAGCGUGGGGAGCAAACAGG